rnacentral:tRNA from 1 species
GGGGCUGUAGCUCAGCUGGGAGAGCGAUGCGUUCGCAACGCAUAGGUCGUCGGUUCGAUCCCGAUCAGCUCCACCA